ACGUAAAAAAGUAAGCAAAAGUGAGCCGAACAACAAAGAAACGAGCUCAAUGAGAAUUUAAGUAUGGCAGCAAACGCCGAAGCUUUAGAUGCCCUUAAACAUUCAGAGUUUUUAAUUUUAUAUUCUUAAAUAUUAUUUGCAGGCGAAAUUGUUUCAAAUAGAAUACAAGUUGUGUUCAGAAAAUAUAAACCAUCUUGCCAAAUGUCAUAAAAAUAGCUUGGUAGCUACAGGACUACUCCCUCUUCUGCGUUCAAACUUCUGCUCCAACUCAUAAUACCCAAACCUCCUGCAAGGGCAUACAAAAAAGAAGACACGGCUGCUUAGAUAAAUGAUUGCGAAUUACGAGGAAGACACAGAGUGUGAGGCAAUGGAUGGGAAUGGGGCAUAUCUGCGGGGGGUUGUAUUGUAGAAGGCAAUGCCACAUACUUUGCAUACUCGAAUUUCCGCGGCAGCAUUCGAAAAUAAGCGUGAAGCCGCAGCAACUGUCUAAAAUUUGUUUCGGAAAAAAUCUCUCCUGAAUAGAAGCGAAAAACCCAAAAAACCAAAGGAGCAACAAAAAAAUGAAAUACAAAUGACUUUUUAUGUUGAUUUCAUGGACGCAGCUGUUUCGGGGGUUCUUUGGCUGUGGGCUGCGCUCUGCUGUACUCAUAAUUUAUUAUCCUGCACGGUUUGUUUUAUGAACUUUAAAUAAAAAUUUAUUAGCAGCCAAGGGAUGGAGCGGCACGGUAUGGUGGAGUGGGCAGAUAAAGUCGAACAAGUUGUGCGGCAUGUGGCUGUCGCAAGACAGUUUGCAUUUUUGAUUAAUUUUCAUUCGGCUGCUAUCGACGAUGCAUCAAUCAAAGUUUUCAACAUUCUGUCCGUGAAAUGAAACAAGAAGAAACGAAAUUCGAUUCCCCUUUCGAAGGGGAGACCUCCAGAUCUUCGUUUGCCAUAAGGAAUUUGAUGUAUGGGCCUAUCAAUAAAUUUGGCAAAUCCAGGAAGUGGUCAAGUCGUGUUAUCGGAAUGUUUUGUUCUGGAAAUCACUGGGCCCUCCCAAACGAAAUGAAAGUUUC
rnacentral:lncRNA from 1 species